CUUGAGGUGCACAAAAUUGUUAAUGGAGUGUUUAUGUCACAGGAAUUUUCUACACACUGCCUUGUUUUUGCUCGUUUUUAUUAUUCUUGGAGUUAAUUGUUCAGCUUAAGGCUGCCGUACAUCGGGAAGGCAAGAAGGAAUUAGAAUUUUUCAAAUUCUUUUGCCAAGAAAUGAUUUCAACAGAAAAUAGAGAAGUUAGUGGCUGAAAAUUGGUAGGCCUACCGAAGACUGGCUAAAAGAUGAAAGCCUCACACGGCAAAUUGCAUCAAACGCAACUUAUAUCUGAACGAUACACCUCUCGAGUGAACAGUUAUGAACAUAAUCUUCAACAGAUGGUUACAAUGUUCAGUGUGGACCCUGUCAAUACGUUGCAGCAAAAGCUAGAUGAGACCAGUCAUGAAGAAUAGAGGUUGAACAAAUCUGCUAAGCUAUCAGCUUCAUUGUAAACUGAUUUUUAUAAAAGAGGGAGGGGCUGAGGUGCAGGGAUGCUGUCCUAAAAAGUUAAGAAUGGGUAGGCACCCGCACCACAGAGCGAUGAGAAAAGUGGGGGAUCUAUACGAAAUCACUCAAAUUAUUAAGUGACCCUUGAAGGCUAAUAUAAAUCUUCUCAAUCUUGGUAAAAUCAUUAGCAAAAAAGGGUUAAUUCACAUUGCCAAAUAAAGAAUUUUUCCAACCAACAUAUACAGGUCCCUUUUUAACGGGGGAUGUGUCUUCCAAGUUCUCUCUUAGCUUUAAAAAGGGGGCUGAGCUCCCUCAAGUCCCCCCCCAUGUUGCCACUGCUGAGUUUGCAGGAGCUUAACCCCCUAAAAAUUUCCAAAAUAAUCUUCAAACCAUACAAAAGAAUUGGAUUUUGGCCUGUUUAGCCCCCAAAACCUUUGAACCCCUUUAAUUCAUGGUUCUUGAGAAAAGGUAUCUUUGCAGCAGAAAUAUCUAAGUUGCAAGCAGUUAUCAUUAUAUGUUUCUGAUAUAAGAGACAGUCAUUGCAAACCACCAGUUGCCAGUCUAAAUCCAGUGGUAUUAAACAUAUGACCUAGUGAUGAUCAA